rnacentral:lncRNA from 1 species
GCUUCAUUGAGAAGCCAAGAGCCUGAGGUCACCACUCCAAUUUCUACCCAGGGAAUGACAAUUACGUGGCUCCCAGAAGCCUCCACGCAAGAGCUCAGGCUGGAGCCAGAACGAGGGUCUCCCCUCUGAGGCUCGCUGGACCAAGACGAUAGGUGAGGGGCUCCACCAGGGCCAGCGCGCAGCCCAAGCAAGUGGGACCCCACUUCUGUUUCUCCAGAAAAGAGCAAACACGUUCUCUCAGGAAAUCAAGCCCGAGCAAAGGAGGCAUGCAGUGGGGAGGGGAUGGGGACAAGUCGGGGUCCUGGGGGAAGCCCCAGCGGGAAGCAUGAGCAGGAGGGACCUGAUGGGGCGGCACAGGGGCCCCUGAUCCAGGAGGGACUGCCGGGAACCCUGUGCUCAUCUGUCACCGCCUGAUUGGUGGCUCCAUCUGGGCUUUGGCGGGACUGACGCUGACAUGGGUAGCCUGUUUCGAGCAUCUGGCCAUAUUAUUUAGUUGCUUAAUGAUGGCAGGAGAAGCAGGGAGUAAUCAUCCAUGUUAACAUGUAAUUUAUUCUACAUCCGUAAUUAUGUUUUGCAACCAGUAAUGAAAGAGCGCCAGGCCCCCAGCUUAUCUGCCGCGGUAUGCCCCGUAUCUCAGCCUUGACGGGGAUCAGGGCCCCUUGGAGCUCCGGCCUGACUCUUACCAGCUCGAGGUCCAUCCGCCUUGCUGCUCCCAGGCUGCACGUUCAAGCCAGCAUGGACUAGUGGCCUGGGGGCCACCACAACCACCAGCACCCCUGGAGGGCUACAACCACGGGGAAUGGUUCUCCCCCAGCUCCGGAGGCUGCAGUCUGAGAUCCAGAGGCUCCAGGGGAGGGUCCCUCCUGCCUCCCCCAGCUCCCAGUGGCCCCAGCAUUCCUCGGCUUGGGGCAGCAUUGCGGAGUAUCACCCUGUCCUCGCUUGGCCCCCUCUCUUGUAAGGACGCUUGCCCUUGGAUUUGAUGCUACCUAAACUCCAUGAGCUCAUCUCAUGGUUCUUAACUUAAUUACAUCUUACAAAGACCUUCCAAGGAGGGUCACAGUGAUAGGCUCUGAGUAGGCAUGUCUUUGGGGGGGCCACCAUUCACCCCACUACAGUGUGCUUUUCCUCUCCCGGUUUCUAGCACCUCUGUACCUGCGAAGCUUCACCUCACCAUCCUCCUCCUGAGGGCAGCGCCCCAUCUGUCUGUCUCCUUGUCCUCCGUGCCUGGCACAGGUGAAUGCCCCAUAAAUGCCUCUAUUUAGCUUCAGGGAAUCCCAGGCAGGGGGCAGGAUGGUGAGCAGAAGUCCCCGCUGCCCCCCCACCCCAGUCCCAAACUAUAAGAACCCGGGGUGGAGAUAUUUAUAGACUGGACCGAGCAGCCCCCACCGGCAGCAUCCACAGGCUCCCAUGUCUGUCCGAGAGCUCAACAUCCAGGCUCCCUGAAGGACCUGCAUGACGGCGUGUGGCAGGUGCCCAGAGCCCCACUGCGGGGACUGCAAGCAGGCCCGGGAGCACAGAGGUAAGUUGGCACCCAGAGGUGACUCGUGAGUGGGCACCGGCCCCUCAUCAGGCUGGCAGCUCAUUAGGGCAGCUCAGGAGGCAGCCAAGGGGCUGAGUUCACGGCAGCAGGCGGGGCGCACGCUUGGAUCUGAC